CUGGGGAUAUAGCACAUUGGUAAAGUGCUUGCCUCACAUGUAAAGACCUGGGUUCGAUCCUCAGCACCAGA
rnacentral:tRNA from 1 species